AUGAGGGUGCUGGGAAGGAGCACCGAGCAGAGCAGAAAGGAGAGGGUAGCUGGGAACGCCGUGCCGCGUGGCUGCAGGCUGCUUCGAGCGGCCGUUCCUCUGCUCGGCCCAAUGUGCAGCUGCUGGCGCGCGCGGCCACCAGGGGGCAGCGUGCCUUGCCUGCGGCCGUUACUCCGCCGCAGCCGCCUCCUAACCGUAGCUAUUUCCGCCCCCGGCCCGCAGCCAGCCGCUGUAAGGCGGUGCCGCGAGGUUUUUCUCCUCGCAGCAGCGCUGAUGGGCGAGAUUGAGACUAGCUGGGCAAAACCAGUCUUGCGAGCAAAGCGUACUUCUCUUUUCAAGCAUUUCUUCACUCUUCUGAGGCUCCUCUUGUGUAACUUGACGCGGCGGUCCAAAGAGUUUUCUGUUUGCAGGCGGCCUCAUUUCAAUCCGCUGACCAGCUCCCAGAAAAAAAAGAGUUUGUGUUCUUUAGGAAGACUGCAGAAAAAUGAAGACCCGGCUAAAAGUACUAUUUGGCGUGGUUGUAUGUGUUUUGCUUUCCUUAUUUCUUAUAUGUAUUGUACUGCUUCCAUCCAAAGGAUUGUCGUGCCUGUACUGUUACGGCUUUAUCACUUUACAGAAAUGUACUGACAGCUGAAAUGUCCUGAAGGUAUGAUCGAAAUGCCAGCAGAUGUUGAAACAAUGAACCCUUUGAAGUGAAAAGCGCCUCAGUUAACUUUACUCAUGACGUAUGACAAUCUUAGACAAGACUGCAGAAAUAGUUCUUAGAUCUCAUAUUAUAUAUAUGUUAGGAGCUAUGAGAGUCUCACAGUCUGUUAAUAGUUUCUUUCAGCUUGGUGAACCUGUAUUUUAAUAAUUAUUAAGGAUCUCUAGACAAUUGCAAGUUAAAUAUUUCUCUGAUGAAAGGAUGUGGUGAAUUGUUUGUGGACAUGUUUAAGAUUGCAUUUGGAAAUUAAAGCCAGCAUUGGAUAAAAUAGGAGUGCAUGGUUUGUUCUAGUAUGAUGCUAGCUGUGAGUAAUUGCUGAUGCACAGAACGAUCUGUUGAGUCCACUGGUAAAGCUUGAAGUGUGUGUGGUUUGAUAUUUAGAGUCUGAAUGGCACUGGCUUUAAUGGGCAUUUUUUUCUGUGAGAAAUCCAGUAAGAGAGAGAUAAGUAUUUAUAUAUCCCUUUCACUACAAUGGAUGAAUUGAAUGCCUCUGAAAUAUUUAAAACAGUAAUAAUUAUAUAUAAAUAUAUAUAUAUAUAUUCCAGUAGCAGCAAUAAUUUCUUUUUUCUAUAAUUAUUCUUUGCCGAUAUGUUGGCAAAUCAGGUUCAGCUUUACCUUUACUUAGUCUUAUAGCUAAUAUUCAACUUUAGUGGAAGGUCAAAUCUCCCUUUCUUACCUGAUAUUUCAUUUUAAUAUAUUUAGCAUGAGUACUUCUGCUGGGGAGGAGUUGGAGAUUUAUAAGGUAGGGCUAAUUCUGUUCUGCAUCAUAUGAACACGAGGAUACAUUGUAUCAUGGCUGGAGGUAGCACUGCAAAGAGAUACCAACCUUAUAGAAUAGAAUCAUAAGUUAAGGUUGGAAAAGGCCUCUAAGAUCAUCUUGUCCAACCAUCUACCUACCACCAAUAUUGCCCUCUAAACCACAUCCCAGGGUACUACAUCUACACGUUUCUUGAACACCUCCAGGGUGAUGACUCCACCACCUCACUGGGCAGACUGUUCCAGUAUCUGACCACUCUUUUGGAGAACUUUCUCCUAAUAUCCAACUAAACCUCCCCUGGUGCAACUUGAGGCCUCUUGUCAUAUCACAGUUACCUGGGAGAAGAAGGCAGCACCUGCCUCACAACAACCUCUUUUCAGGGAAUUGUAGAUACAGAUCUGGUCUCCCCUCUAGAUUAAAUAAUCCCAGUUUCAUUAGCCACCCCUCAUAAGACUUGUGGUCCAGACUCAUCACAGCUUCACUGUCCUUUCCUCUCUGGACACACCCCAGGGCCUCAGUGCACUUACUGUAAUGGGAAAAUGGAAUACAAUACUCGAGGUGUGGCAUCACUAGAGCUGAGUACAGGGGGAGUAUCACCUCCCUGCUCCUUCUGGCUACAUUAUUUCUUAUACAAGCCAGGAUGCCAUAGGCUUUCUUGGCCAGCUGGGCACACUGCUGGCUCAUCUUCAGCUGAGCACUGACCAACACCUCCAGAUCCUUUUCUUCUGCACAGCUUUCCAGCCACUCUGCCCCAAGCCUGUAGCAUUGCAUGGAGUUAUUAUGAUCUAAGUGCAGAACCUGGUGCUUAGUCUCGUUGAACUUCAUCCCACUGGCCUCUUUCUAAAUUAACCACAAGAUUUUCAAAAGCACUCGGGAUAUUGGGCUGUAUCUCUUAAAAGGUCAUAGAAACCAAAUUUGUAGUCUAAAAUAAGCGAGAAAUUUUUACCCUAAAUACAUAACUAGAAAGUGAUUGUUUUCAUGAAUUGGAAUAUGAUACAAGAUAGCAGAAUUCCUUCUGUUAUUAAAAAAAAGAAAAAAGAAAAUAAUAAACCUUAGCAGUUUUCCUGGAAUAUCCUGAACUUUUCCAAGAGCCUUUCUUUGUGUCCCAGGAUCCAACCACGCCUCAAAAUGGAGUCCUUCUCUGAGCUCUUCCCCAUUUGGGCUUUGUUUACAUCACGCUUCUGGUUACCAGAUCUCUACAGAUAGGUCUUGCACUAAACACUGCUGUUGGGAUGUGAAAGAGAACUCUGCAACUGCCUUAAACAGGUAGCAAAUAUGAAGGGAAACAAAUGAAAGGGAAAAAAGUAUAUCUUGAAUUUAUCUACUUAUGUGAACUAGUUUUUGUAGUGAAAAUUUGCUUGUGUGUUUAGUGAAAGAAUUCAUAUACAAUUAGAUACACAACUAGAUUUUCCUCUUUCUCAGCUACUUGUACCAUUUGGAGUUCUAGAGAAUAUAAAAAUAAAAAUUNNNNNNNNNNNNNNNNNNNNNNNNNNNNNNNNNNNNNNNNNNNNNNNNNNNNNNNNNNNNNNNNNNNNNNNNNNNNNNNNNNNNNNNNNNNNNNNNNNNNCUAUCCACUAUUGACAGUACAGACUGGCAGUGAAGAAGUUGGUGA
ensembl:lncRNA